AAAUUGAAGAGUUUGAUCAUGGCUCAGAUUGAACGCUGGCGGCAGGCCUAACACAUGCAAGUCGAACGGUAACAGGAAGCAGCUUGCUGCUUUGCUGACGAGUGGCGGACGGGUGAGUAAUGUCUGGGAAACUGCCUGAUGGAGGGGGAUAACUACUGGAAACGGUGGCUAAUACCGCAUAACGUCGCAAGACCAAAGAGGGGGACCUUCGGGCCUCUUGCCAUCAGAUGUGCCCAGAUGGGAUUAGCUUGUUGGUGAGGUAACGGCUCACCAAGGCGACGAUCCCUAGCUGGUCUGAGAGGAUGACCAGCCACACUGGAACUGAGACACGGUCCAGACUCCUACGGGAGGCAGCAGUGGGGAAUAUUGCACAAUGGGCGCAAGCCUGAUGCAGCCAUGCCGCGUGUAUGAAGAAGGCCUUCGGGUUGUAAAGUACUUUCAGCGGGGAGGAAGGUGUUGCGGUUAAUAACCGCAGCAAUUGACGUUACCCGCAGAAGAAGCACCGGCUAACUCCGUGCCAGCAGCCGCGGUAAUACGGAGGGUGCAAGCGUUAAUCGGAAUUACUGGGCGUAAAGCGCACGCAGGCGGUCUGUCAAGUCGGAUGUGAAAUCCCCGGGCUCAACCUGGGAACUGCAUUCGAAACUGGCAGGCUUGAGUCUUGUAGAGGGGGGUAGAAUUCCAGGUGUAGCGGUGAAAUGCGUAGAGAUCUGGAGGAAUACCGGUGGCGAAGGCGGCCCCCUGGACAAAGACUGACGCUCAGGUGCGAAAGCGUGGGGAGCAAACAGGAUUAGAUACCCUGGUAGUCCACGCCGUAAACGAUGUCUACUUGGAGGUUGUGCCCUUGAGGCGUGGCUUCCGGAGCUAACGCGUUAAGUAGACCGCCUGGGGAGUACGGCCGCAAGGUUAAAACUCAAAUGAAUUGACGGGGGCCCGCACAAGCGGUGGAGCAUGUGGUUUAAUUCGAUGCAACGCGAAGAACCUUACCUGGUCUUGACAUCCACAGAAGAAUCCAGAGAUGGAUUGGUGCCUUCGGGAACUGUGAGACAG
rnacentral:rRNA from 1 species